UGCGCUCCGGCCUUUCAGUGUCUCUGGUGAGGUUGGGCCUGAUAGGUUGAGAGCUGCCAGGGGAAGUUAAGGAUGACUUCCAAGUUUUGAGGAAGAAGACCAGCUACAAGGAAAUACUUCUGAAAAAUCACUCUGAACCCCAAGCUGGAGUGAAUCUUCUCCUGAGCUCUCUCAUUCCAGAAUGGCAAUCUUGUUUCAGGAGAGAUCUCUAAUAGUGACUGAUGGUAAAGGAAGAAGGCUGUGCCUAGAACAAAGAAUCAGGCUGGCAAAGAAAUCACAGGUCUUUCCUCAAACUUUAAAUUGCUACUCUCUGGAGAUAGCUACCUGGACUUUACAGAGCUGUCAGAAGACUUGGGAAGGUUUGCCAGCAUUGGAAAAAGCCACUUGGACUUCACAGAGCUGUCAGAAGACUUAGGAAGCUUUGCCAGUAGUUCCUGAGACCAGAAAUACAUAUUAUGAAGCAGGUGCUGGAACAGGCCCUGGCCCCUACUUGUGAAGCUGCAGAUAUAGAUGGUGUUACUGAGAAGGAAACUAAGGACUUGGCUCCAAAACAAAACAAAACAAAAUCUGGAGAUGCUGAAUUUUGUUGGGGGGAAUGUCUGUAGAACUGCAACAUCAAUGCAGUAAGUGUAGUAAAAGCUUUAGUUUAUGGUGAGUCAUUACUCAGCAUCAUGGAGUCCACGAUGAAGAGAAUCUCUUUUCAAUCUGUGCAAUCAACAAGUUUUUGAAAGGCUUUUGUUUAUAGUGGAACCCUCUUUUCCCCCUAGAAGAACCACCACAAGGAAAAAUGCUGUCACCAUAAGGAAUGUGGGAAAGUUUUCAGCCACAUGGCCUUAUUUGACUUCAAAGAAUCCACAUGAGAGAGAGACUGCAUAAAUGUAAUAACUGAGGAGGCCUUUGUUCAGCAAAGAAACCUUAUACAAACUCGUAUAAAGAAUGUAGGAAGACCUUCACCCAGAAGCCAGGACUGACUGUGCACCAGAGAAUCUGCACAAUAAACAUGAUGAAUGUGGAGAUGCUUGCUUCAGCAUUGGAGAAUUCACAGUAAAGGGAAACCCUGCCAGUGUGAUGAGUACGGAAAAGUCUUCAGAGGUUGGAACUUGGGAAAAAUCAGUGAGUGAAUUCAUAUUAGAGAGGCUCUUAUAAAUGAGAGGAUUGUGGAAACUUGUAUAGACAGAGAUCAGACCUCAACAAGGGAGCCUCCACAGUAUUGAAAAGUUAAUAUAAUUAAUGUAAGUGGGCAAGUUGUAUGGGGAAUGGGUAGUCUAAAUUGCUCAUUUUAGCCAGUAAAAACAUUAAAUUAGUUUCUUAGAUCAAGAAAAGGAAAUGUUAGAAGUUAUUUUUCCCUUCCAGAGGGGUCUAUAUGUGUAAGCAACCAGGACUUUUGAAAUAAGUUGCAUCUCUGGAUUUGUGAUCUGUCUCCUGGAUGAUUAUCUCUGUUUUGGGAGACAGGUAUUUUUUCUUCAUGCCUGCUCUAGUCUCAUCUCAUAUCUUUAAUUCAUUCAGCAAGUAUACACAAUAGUAUUAUCGUCUACUGUUUGUUGUAAAUAUAUAUAUAUUAUUUUCUUUUUGGUCUGAGUAGGCUUGUAUUGGUACCCUAGGACAUAAAAAUCACAUAUAUCAUGUUUCAGUAAAUGCAGUGAAAGGAACUAUAUUAUUAAAUUGCUGGGAAUUUCUGUAAAUUUGAGACUACCUUUAUAUUCUCCAACACAAGACCGUGUAGGUGUCCCUUCAGAGAGUAUAUUUUUCUAGCUUGGCUUCUUUAUUUUCUUUAUUUUUUUGAGAUGGAGUCUUGCUCCUGUCGCCCAGGCUGGAGUGCAAUGGCACGAUCUCGGCUCACUGCAACCUCCGCCUCCCAGGUUCAAGUGAUUCUCCUGUCUCAGUCUCCCGAGUAGCUGGGAUUACAGGCACUUGCCACCAUUCCCAGCUAAUUUUUGUAUUUUUAGUAGAGACGGGGUUUCACCAUGUUGGCCAGGCUGGUCUCGAACUCCUGACCUUGUGAUCUGCCCACCUUGGCCUCCCAAAGUUCAGGGAUUACAGGCAUGAGCCACCAUGCCCGGCUGUUUUUUUAAGAUAGAAAAAUAUACUUCAUGUAUAGCCUAUUGACAGAUAAUGACUGAUAUUUUUUCUUAUAGAUAACACAUAAUAAACAUUGUGAAGACUAAUAAGUAACUUGCUUAUUCUUUUCAGUUCUAAAACCUGUAGGAAAGAAUCUUUAGAAGCUGUCAACAAGUUGAUAAUGUAGCCCAAUCUCUACCCAUGAUAGGAGAGUAAGGCUUAUAUAUUUUAUAGUAGGGCACUAAAUACAGGAACCAUGUAUUUAAAAACUUUUUAGUGAUUAUCUCAGAAUUCUAGGUGUCCCUCUGCUGUACAUCCCUAAAUUUUUUGCAUAGGUAUUAUUAAUAAAUUCAUUAUUUUCAAAGAUGGACUGUGUUCUGUAAAAAGCUUUUCCAGUAUCUGCAAAUCACACAGUUUUUUUUAACUCUAUUACUAUUAUAUAAAAUGAUUUCUUAAUAUUGAACCAAC
rnacentral:lncRNA from 1 species